CUCCCUUCCUCACCCACCCUGGGUCAUUCAUUUUCCCAGACCUUGGCUUACCCUAUCUCCUUGCCUGAAUAUCCUCAGCAAAUCCUGCCAGCUCUUCCAGGCCCAGCUCCACUCCUCCCUUCUCCCCAGUCCGAGUGGUGCUGAGGAAGCACUGCAGGGUGGAUGGAUGUUUGGAUGUUAUCUGAGAAGCAUCUGCUUUGCAGAACCUCCCAGGGAAGGGGAGGGACUCCUGAAGAUAUUGAUUUCACAAUUAACCCUCAGAGAAGGAGUCUCUUUACAACCUCUUUCCUGGAGACUAGACUCACUGUUGAUUGCAUCACUUACAGAAACCCUGUCAAAGUGAGGAAGGCUCCUUCCAUCCCCCAGCUGUAAAAAUCCUAUGAUUUUCAUAAAACCAGCCACAGGCCAUUGGGAGUGUACGCUGUUUUCUAGUCCUCUAAUGAGGUGAGUUUAUUCUCCUGUGGGCGGCACACGAUCACAGUCUUUAGGCUCUCAUCGCAACUCUCCCUACUCCCAUCUGUGUGUGCUUAGUCAGCCUAUCUCCCUGAACCCCAGUCACUUCCUCAGGGUUCACAAGGUCAG
rnacentral:lncRNA from 1 species